UACGUAGGGUGCAAGCGUUGUCCGGAAUUAUUGGGCGUAAAGAGCUCGUAGGCGGUUCGUCGCGUCGGCUGUGAAAUCCCCGAGGCUCAACCUCGGGUCUGCAGUCGAUACGGGGCGGACUGGAGUUCGGCAGGGGAGACUGGAAUUCCUGGUGUAGCGGUGAAAUGCGCAGAUAUCAGGAGGAACACCUAUUGCGAAGGCAGCUCGCUGGGACGUAACUGACGCUGAGACGCGAAAGCGUGGGGGAGCAAACAGG
rnacentral:rRNA from 1 species